rnacentral:rRNA from 1 species
UGCAGUCGAGCGGUAGCACAGAGAGCUUGCUCUCGGGUGACGAGCGGCGGACGGGUGAGUAAUGUCUGGGAAACUGCCUGAUGGAGGGGGAUAACUACUGGAAACGGUAGCUAAUACCGCAUAACGUCGCAAGACCAAAGUGGGGGACCUUCGGGCCUCAUGCCAUCAGAUGUGCCCAGAUGGGAUUAGCUAGUAGGUGGGGUAAUGGCUCACCUAGGCGACGAUCCCUAGCUGGUCUGAGAGGAUGACCAGCCACACUGGAACUGAGACACGGUCCAGACUCCUACGGGAGGCAGCAGUGGGGAAUAUUGCACAAUGGGCGCAAGCCUGAUGCAGCCAUGCCGCGUGUAUGAAGAAGGCCUUCGGGUUGUAAAGUACUUUCAGCGAGGAGGAAGGCGUUAAGGUUAAUAACCUUGGCGAUUGACGUUACUCGCAGAAGAAGCACCGGCUAACUCCGUGCCAGCAGCCGCGGUAAUACGGAGGGUGCAAGCGUUAAUCGGAAUUACUGGGCGUAAAGCGCACGCAGGCGGUCUGUCAAGUCGGAUGUGAAAUCCCCGGGCUCAACCUGGGAACUGCAUUCGAAACUGGCAGGCUAGAGUCUUGUAGAGGGGGGUAGAAUUCCAGGUGUAGCGGUGAAAUGCGUAGAGAUCUGGAGGAAUACCGGUGGCGAAGGCGGCCCCCUGGACAAAGACUGACGCUCAGGUGCGAAAGCGUGGGGAGCAAACAGGAUUAGAUACCCUGGUAGUCCACGCCGUAAACGAUGUCGACUUGGAGGUUGUGCCCUUGAGGCGUGGCUUCCGGAGCUAACGCGUUAAGUCGACCGCCUGGGGAGUACGGCCGCAAGGUUAAAACUCAAAUGAAUUGACGGGGGCCCGCACAAGCGGUGGAGCAUGUGGUUUAAUUCGAUGCAACGCGAAGAACCUUACCUGGUCUUGACAUCCACAGAACUUUCCAGAGAUGGAUUGGUGCCUUCGGGAACUGUGAGACAGGUGCUGCAUGGCUGUCGUCAGC